GGUUAAGUUAGAAAGGGCGCACGGUGGAUGCCUUGGCACUAGGAGCCGAAGAAGGACGGGACUAACACCGAUAUGCUUUGGGGAGCUGUACGUAAGCGUUGAUCCAGAGAUUUCCGAAUGGGGGAACCCACUAUCUUUAGUCGGAUAGUAUCCUUACGUGAAUACAUAGCGUGAGGAAGGCAGACCCAGGGAACUGAAACAUCUAAGUACCUGGAGGAAGAGAAAGAAAAAUCGAUUUCCUGAGUAGCGGCGAGCGAAACGGAAAGAGCCCAAACCAAGAAGCUUGCUUCUUGGGGUUGUAGGACACUCUAUACGGAGUUACAAAAGAAAGUUAUAAAUGAAGCGGUCUGGAAAGGCCCGCCAAAGACGGUAACAGCCCGGUAGUUGAAAUGGCUUUCCCUCCAGAGUGGAUCCUGAGUACGGCGGAACACGUGAAAUUCCGUCGGAAUCCGGGAGGACCAUCUCCCAAGGCUAAAUACUCCCUAGUGACCGAUAGUGAACCAGUACCGUGAGGGAAAGGUGAAAAGCACCCCGGAAGGGGAGUGAAACAGUUCCUGAAACCGUGUGCCUACAAGUAGUUAGAGCCCGUUAAUGGGUGAUAGCGUGCCUUUUGUAGAAUGAACCGGCGAGUUACGAUUUGUUGCAAGGUUAAGCGGAAAAAGCGGAGCCGUAGCGAAAGCGAGUCUGAAUAGGGCGCAUAAGUAACAGGUCGUAGACCCGAAACCAGGUGAUCUACCCAUGUCCAGGAUGAAGGUAAGGUAAUACUUACUGGAGGUCCGAACCCACGCACGUUGAAAAGUGCGGGGAUGAGGUGUGGGUAGCGGAGAAAUUCCAAUCGAACUUGGAGAUAGCUGGUUCUCUCCGAAAUAGCUUUAGGGCUAGCCUCGAGGUAAAGAGUCAUGGAGGUAGAGCACUGUUUGGACUAGGGGCCCUUCUCGGGUUACCGAAUUCAGAUAAACUCCGAAUGCCAUGUACUUAUACUCGGGAGUCAGACUGCGAGUGAUAAGAUCCGUAGUCGAAAGGGAAACAGCCCAGACCACCAGUUAAGGUCCCCAAAUAUAUGUUAAGUGGAAAAGGAUGUGGGGUUGCUUAGACAACCAGGAUGUUGGCUUAGAAGCAGCCACCAUUGAAAGAGUGCGUAAUAGCUCACUGGUCGAGUGACCCCGCGCCGAAAAUGUACCGGGGCUAAACAUAUUACCGAAACUGUGGAUGAACCUCUUUAGAGGUUCGUGGUAGGAGAGCGUUCUAAGGGCGGUGAAGUCAGACCGGAAGGACUGGUGGAGCGCUUAGAAGUGAGAAUGCCGGUAUGAGUAGCGAAAGAAGGGUGAGAAUCCCUUCCACCGAAUAUCUAAGGUUUCCUGAGGAAGGCUCGUCCGCUCAGGGUUAGUCGGGACCUAAGCCGAGGCCGAUAGGCGUAGGCGAUGGACAACAGGUAGAGAUUCCUGUACCAGUGCUAAUUGUUUAACCGAUGGGGUGACACAGAAGGAUAGGGAAUCGCACGAAUGGAAAUGUGCGUCCAAGCAGUGAGUGUGAGAAGUAGGCAAAUCCGCUUCUCGCGAAGCAUGAGCUGUGAUGGGGAAGGAAAUUAAGUACGGAAGUUCCUGAUUUCACGCUGUCAAGAAAAGCCUCUAGGAAGAGUAGUACUGCCCGUACCGCAAACCGACACAGGUAGAUGAGGAGAGAAUCCUAAGGUGAGCGAGAGAACUCUCGUUAAGGAACUCGGCAAAAUGACCCCGUAACUUCGGGAGAAGGGGUGCUCUAUUAGGGUGCAAGCCCGAGAGAGCCGCAGUGAAUAGGCCCAGGCGACUGUUUAGCAAAAACACAGGUCUCUGCAAAACCGUAAGGUGACGUAUAGGGGCUGACGCCUGCCCGGUGCUGGAAGGUUAAGAGGAGUGCUUAGCUUCGGCGAAGGUACGAAUUGAAGCCCCAGUAAACGGCGGCCGUAACUAUAACGGUCCUAAGGUAGCGAAAUUCCUUGUCGGGUAAGUUCCGACCCGCACGAAAGGCGCAACGAUCUGGGCACUGUCUCAACGAGAGACUCGGUGAAAUUAUAGUACCUGUGAAGAUGCAGGUUACCCGCGACAGGACGGAAAGACCCCGUGGAGCUUUACUGCAACCUGAUAUGGAAUGUUUGUACCGCUUGUACAGGAUAGGUAGGAGCCGAAGAGACGUGUGCGCUAGCAUACGAGGAGGCAAUGGUGGGAUACUACCCUGGCUGUAUGACCAUUCUAACCCGCCACGCUUAGCGCGUGGGGAGACAGUGUCAGGUGGGCAGUUUGACUGGGGCGGUCGCCUCCUAAAGAGUAACGGAGGCGCCCAAAGGUUCCCUCAGAAUGGAUGGAAAUCAUUCGCAGAGUGUAAAGGCACAAGGGAGCUUGACUGCGAGACUGACAAGUCGAGCAGGGACGAAAGUCGGGCUUAGUGAUCCGGUGGUUCCGCAUGGAAGGGCCAUCGCUCAACGGAUAAAAGCUACCCCGGGGAUAACAGGCUUAUCUCCCC
rnacentral:rRNA from 1 species